GUCCAGGUCGUCCAACGGUAGGACACCCCCAAAUCAAUUGAUGAUUCUCAAACUGCCCGGGGGAGGUCGGGGUUCAAUUCCCCGCUUGGACG